ACUGGGUGCAGUGGCAUGCACUACCUGUAAUUCCAACUACUUGGAAGGUUGAGGCAGGAGGGUGGCUUGAGCCCCAGGAGUCCAGGGCCAGCCUGGGUAACAUACUGAGACCUCAUCUCUG
rnacentral:sRNA from 1 species